AACUGAGCUAAAUUAAAACCAAAAUUAAAUUUGAGACUUGCUCGGUAAGAGAUUCGCAACACAAAAAUCGAAAUCGAACUGUGUUUAUUAUUAUCGCUCAUGAUAAUGAAUAAACACAAUUAAUAAGUAUACUGACGUGCUUCCGCACUUGAUUUCCGGAUCUGUCUUCUGACACUGCUUUUGGGUUCAGCUCAGAUCGGACGAGUUCAGCGCUCAAUCUCGUCGGAUUCCAAGUGCUGUCUCUGCUUCCACGGCUUAGUCAUGCAACGGCACUGACCUUGCCCGAUGUCAAACACCCGUAUCGCAUUUUAAUUUGAUGCUCUCUGGGCGAUCGCUUUUGGGUGUUGUCAUGGCUUGUGGCGGAACAGAAGAGUGGGAUAGUGAAGUAUUUCAGUGCUUCGUUUCUCCGGACACGCCCUUAAAUAUACGCAUAAUAUAUUUGCAUUUUGCAAAUUACAUGCUCAACAAAGGCAGGAACAGCAACAGCAACUCCAUCUGUUUGACGUUUUCCGGUUGCCAGCAACAAAAUAAAAGUUUCUACAUAACCACCCGUACUUACAA